AGAGUUUGAUCCUGGCUCAGAUUAAACGCUGGCGGCAUGCCUUACACAUGCAAGUCGAACGGCAGCACGGGGGGCAACCCUGGUGGCGAGUGGCGGACGGGUGAGUAAAGCAUCGGAACGUAUCCUGGAGUGGGGGAUAACGUAGCGAAAGUUACGCUAAUACCGCAUAUUCUGUGAGCAGGAAAGCAGGGGAUCGCAAGACCUUGCGCUCUGGGAGCGGCCGAUGUCGGAUUAGCUAGUUGGUGGGGUAAAGGCCUACCAAGGCGACGAUCCGUAGCGGGUCUGAGAGGAUGAUCCGCCACACUGGGACUGAGACACGGCCCAGACUCCUACGGGAGGCAGCAGUGGGGAAUUUUGGACAAUGGGCGGAAGCCUGAUCCAGCCAUGCCGCGUGAGUGAAGAAGGCCUUCGGGUUGUAAAGCUCUUUCGGCGGGGAAGAAAUUGCACGGGUUAAUACCCUGUGUAGAUGACGGUACCGGAAUAAGAAGCACCGGCUAACUACGUG
rnacentral:rRNA from 1 species